rnacentral:rRNA from 1 species
AACGAAGUGAAGCAUGUUAUUUAAUACGAAAGUACGCGUAAAAUCUUACCAGUUCUUGCAUAGCCAAUCCCUCUAUUUAAAUGAUAAGGAGAAAGUAUUUAUUUAUAUAAAUAGUAAUUUGUAUUAUUAUUUUUAUUAUAUUGUUUUUUCUUUUUUUUUAUUAAGACUGGAUUGAGUGAUAGUUAUUUAUAAAUAAGUUAUUUUACUUAUUUUGUUUUUCCAUAUUUAUUAUACACCUUUGCAGUUAUAUUUACCCUUAGAGAUGAGCAUACUACUUUUCCUUUGCUUUGCAAAGACAAAAGCAAAAGUGUUACUACAUAGGAUUGAUAGUAAUAAGGCAAAAAGUAGAAAUAGAAAUGGAGUUGACAAAAUAGUGUAAAUAUAUUUAAUUUAUUUAUAUUAAUUUAUCCGUUUACAGGU